rnacentral:rRNA from 1 species
UACGUAGGGGGCAAGCGUUGUCCGGAUUUAUUGGGCGUAAAGAGCGUGUAGGCGGCCAUGCAGGUCAGCUGUGAAAACUCGAGGCUCAACCUCGAGACGUCGGUUGAAACCGCAUGGCUAGAGUCCGGAAGAGGAGAGUGGAAUUCCCGGUGUAGCGGUGAAAUGCGCAGAUAUCGGGAAGAACACCUAUGGCGAAGGCAGCUCUCUGGGACGGUACUGACGCUGAGACGCGAAAGCGUGGGGAGCGAACAGG